GAAAGAAUAAAGCUAAAGGUGCAGUCAUCCCACAUGCAAUGGAGGCACAAGCAGUGCUAUAGCUGCAGAACAUGGAAUUGAUCUGGCUCCCCAUUCUGUAAUCUUGCGACAUCAGCAAAACUUCACCGAAAGAAGGCACAGAGAGGCAGCCGGGACAUACAUAGCAGACGAUAGAGAAGAGCAACACAGAAACAGAGGCAUG